rnacentral:rRNA from 1 species
UACGUAGGGCGCAAGCGUUGUCCGGAAUUAUUGGGUUUAAAGGGUGGGUAGGCGGCUUCGUAAGUCCGUGGUGAAAGCCAACAGCUCAACUGUUGAACUGCCAUGGAUACUGUGAGGCUUGAGUACAGACGAGGUAGGCGGAAUGGAUCGUGUAGCGGUGAAAUGCAUAGAUACGAUCCAGAACACCGAUUGCGUAGGCAGCUUACUAGGCUGUAACUGACGCUGAGGCACGAAAGCGUGGGGAGCGAACAGG